GUGAAGACCCAGCCAUGCCUAGAGUAAAUUAAGCCAGCAGCAAAUUAUCCCAAAGGAGAUAAACAGCUAAAAGAAAGUAACUAAAACAGGUUUUAUUUAUAAAUGUCUCACUGUUGGAACCUGCAUGAAUGAAAGCUGAAUCUCAAAGAUCAGACACGUUGGACUUGGAAUAAUGUCCACGUUAUGAUUCCAAUCUGUGCUUAAAUCUGAACCACUCAGUUCUUCAUGCUUGUUGGAAUCUUCCUAAAAUUGGAAUUUCCUGGGAGAUAUCCAGUACUUUUUGGGCUGUAAACAGCAAAACAAACAGCCUUUCUUGUAAUAUGCUAUGUCUAGUGCUAACUGAAUUCAAGAAGUUUAUGGGUGUGGGGAAAGUAACUUGAUUUCUUUGCAAACUUACAAAUUUGCUUCAGUUUAAAUUUUGACCAAAAAUUCAUCUCAGGAAUAUGUUUUGGAAUAAUCCUUUGCUAUUAGUUAUAAAUGUGGCAAAUAUUGUUUAAACAAUAUUAUUUUAUACAACAAA